rfam:Prunus persica cultivar Lovell chromosome G1, whole genome shotgun sequence.
GUUGAGGGGAAUGCUGUCUGGUUCGAGACCAUUCCUUUGAAGCAAGAAACAUGAUCAUCCGAAUGAUCUCGGACCAGGCUUCAUUCCCCCCAAC